GAUGAACGCUGGCGGCGUGCUUAACACAUGCAAGUCGAACGGAAAGGCCCUGCUUGCAGGGUACUCGAGUGGCGAACGGGUGAGUAACACGUGGGUGAUCUGCCCUGUACUUUGGGAUAAGCCUGGGAAACUGGGUCUAAUACCGAAUAUGACAAUUGUUUGGAUGCGAUUGUGGGAAGCUUUUGCGGUAUGGGAUGAGCUCGCGGCCUAUCAGCUUGUUGGUGGGGUAAUGGCCUACCAAGGCGUCGACGGGUAGCCGGCCUGAGAGGGUGUACGGCCACAUUGGGACUGAGAUACGGCCCAGACUCCUACGGGAGGCAGCAGUGGGGAAUAUUGCACAAUGGGCGCAAGCCUGAUGCAGUGACGCCGCGUGGGGGAUGACGGCCUUCGGGUUGUAAACUCCUUUCGCAACCGACGAAGCCUUUUGGUGACGGUAGGUUGAGAAGAAGCACCGGCUAACUACGUG
rnacentral:rRNA from 1 species